CGCGUAGGCGGGAUGGCAAGUCGGUCGUGAAAUCCCUGGGCUCAACUCAGGGGGGUCGGCCGAUACUGCCGUUCUUGAGGGAUGCAGAGGAGACUGGAAUUCCCGGUGUAGCGGUGAAAUGUGUAGAGAUCGGGAGGAACACCGGUGGCGAAGGCGGGUCUCUGGGCAUUCCCUGACGCUGAGGCGCGAAAGCGUGGGGAGCAAACG
rnacentral:rRNA from 1 species